rnacentral:tRNA from 1 species
GGCGCAGUGGUCUAGCGGUUAGAACGCUGGCCUUGUAAUCCUGGGGUCUCGGGUUCGAUUCCCGGCGGUGCCC